rnacentral:rRNA from 1 species
UGGGGAAUUGUUCGCAAUGGGCGCAAGCCUGACGACGCAACGCCGCGUGGAGGAUGACGGCUUUCGGGUCGUAAACUCCUGUCGUGCGGGACGAACGGCUCUCUGGUGAACAGCCAGGGGGAGUGACGGUACCGCGAAAGGAAGCCCCGGCUAACUCCGUGCCAGCAGCCGCGGUAAUACGGGGGGGGCAAGCGUUGUUCGGAAUUACUGGGCGUAAAGGGCUCGUAGGCGGCCCGCUAAGUCAGACGUGAAAGCCCUCGGCUCAACCGGGGAACGGCGUCUGAGACUGGCGGGCUGGAGUCCGGGAGAGGGAUGCGGAAUUCCAGGUGUAGCGGUGAAAUGCGUAGAUAUCUGGAGGAACACCGGUGGCGAAGGCGGCAUCCUGGACCGGCACUGACGCUGAGGAGCGAAAGCCAGGGGAGCAAACGGG